rnacentral:rRNA from 1 species
CAACUUUCAACAACGGAUCUCUUGGCUCUCGCAUCGAUGAAGAACGCAGCGAAAUGCGAUAAGUAAUGUGAAUUGCAGAAUUCAGUGAAUCAUCGAAUCUUUGAACGCACCUUGCGCCCUUUGGCAUUCCGAAGGGCACACCUGUUUGAGUGUCGUGAAA